rnacentral:rRNA from 1 species
AGUGAACGCUGGCGGUAGGCCUAACACAUGCAAGUCGAACGGCAGCACAGUAGUGCUUGCUCUCUAGGUUUCGAGUGGCGUACGGGUGAGGAAUACAUCGGAAUCUUCCCAGUCUUGUGGGUUAACUUAGGGAAACUUACGCUAAUACCGCAUACGACCUUCUGGUUAAUGUGGGUGAUCGCAAGACCUCUCUCUAUUGUAUUAUCCGAUGUCGGAUUAGCUAGUUAGCGGGGUAAUGGCCCACCAAGGCGACGAUCCGUAGCUGGUCUGAGAGGAUGAUAAGACAAACUGGAACUGAGAAACGGAAAAGACUCCUACGGGAGGCAGCAGUGGGGAAUAUUGGACAAUGGGGGAAAGCAUGAUACAGAAAUACCGAGUGGGUGAAGAAGGACUUAGGGUUGUAAAGACAUUUUGUUGGGAAAGAAAACUUUCAGGAUAAUACAAUGGGAGGAUGACGGUAACAAAAGAAUAAGCACCGGCUAACUUCGUG